GUUGGACUUGUUAGGUAACAGGUUGAACCCUGUGCUUUACAGGAACCUGGAAGGCGAAACUGGCCAAACAACAGAAAUGAAGCAUUCUUAAGAACAUAAGAAGAUGGACCCUCUCAGGGAGGUGUUGAUGAAAUCUCUUUAUGGAAACUCCAAGUGGAUAAGGAAGUAUCUCUAAAGCUUACGGCAAAUUCAUCAUAGUCUCCUGUAGGACAUGACUGGAGCAGGAAGGUGAGUGUGCAUUUAAUAAAUAAGUUUAAAACAAGAAGGGGAGAGAUGGGAGGUUCUGGCAACUCUCUCCCAAAGUCUGCUUUGCCAAAUAUUCAAAGACUGGGAAGGUUGGGUUACCUACAGACUCCUGGAUGUAGCUUUUCAUUUAUUGACACUGAAGGGAGGGGCUAUGACCUGGCAGGCUGGAGGUGCCUCACUUUGAAGUUAAGGGGUCGGCGGGAGGCUUCUUCCUCUCUUCCCUAAAGGUAAAGGGAUCCUUCCAGUGAUGGGGAUGACAAGCUUGGAGUAAGUCAGCAGUGCAGCAAACAGGGCAGGUUACGUUACUUCUUUUUUACUUCUGAAGAAACUGUUUCUAUGGCUGAUGGAGCUGAGGAGGCUGAAGUUGGUUUCUUUGAUUCCAGGACAUUGAAGUUCAGGGAAGAAAAUGCAGCUUCAUCCAUCUGAA